GCAAGCCCGCAGGGACCCCCACGUCCUAGAGAGAACUGCACCGAGGGUACAGACCCAAGAGGCUACAACACACGGGACGGCACCCACCCCUAACAAAGAGCCAUGCAGCUCAAAAGGUCAGCAGUGCUGAGGCUGAGGAACCCUGUCCUGGAUCGCCCACUCAUAAAGUCAAAAACAAUAACACAUGCCGAAUUUCUCAUCUUGCUCACCUCCUGGGGGGAGAUGGGAAGGGACCCACGUGGAGAGACACAUCACAGCCUAGAUGUCUACUGGGGCACCAUCCCCGUGAGGCCAGACGCACGUUAGCUGCUGGAGGAUUCCUGCUCUGCCUGACUCAGAGUGCUCCCCGCUUGGCUUGGACAGUGUCCGAGGCACCCAGGAAGAGGCCAGGGCUGUGGGGGGAGGGGGAACACUGGGGCACUGGGAGCCACAGCUCUUAGCAACAAUCCAGAGAUGUUCAGUCAUUGCAACUGCUCUGGUACAGACCCCCGAGCAUCACCAUCGACCACUCCUGGCGUCAACAAAACAUUCACCUUUGAGACUUGCUGGCUCCAGGCAUGACAAGAAAGAUUUUGUUAUCUCUAUUUUGUAAAAGAACGGGCCCAUUCAAGUAGGCAAGCCUUGACACUGUGCUCACUCCUUACGCAUUUUCCUACCCAAUACCAUAGUUUAAAAUUUUUAUAUUAUUUUCUUUGAAGUUUUAUUAAUUAUAGUUGAUUUACAAUGUUGUGAUAUCUGUUGCUGAACAACAAAGUGAUUCAGUUAUACAUAUACCCAUAUCCAUUUUUUUUCCGAUUCUUCUCCCAUAUAGUUUAUUACAGAAUAUUGGACGGAGUUCUCUCAAUGUUUUUUUUUAAGUGGAAGUGUAGUUAAUUGGCAAUGCUGUGUUAAUUUCAAGUGUGCAGUUUAAAUAUUUUAAAGAAUGAUGACACAAAAGAAAUUAUUUCUGAAUGUGUUUCAAAGAUCUUAAAGUUCUCGUUUACCUACAAAGAUACAUUUAACUUUUCUAAGAAGUAAUGCCUCUGGUCAUGACUUAAUGCACAGAAAAUUUAGUCAUAUUUACUAACUUAGAAAUUACUAAAUUGGCUAAUAGUUAAUUACUGUAAUCAACCAACUAGACAUCGACCAACCUACCAUUAACCUUAUUGCUUUUGGCUGAACAUUUUUAAAACAUUAAUAUUAGGGAAUUCCCAUUGUGGCUCAGCAGUAACAAACCCAACUAGUAUCCAUGAGGACAUGGGUCUGAUCUCUGGCCUCGCUCAGUGAGUUAAGGAUCCAGCAUUGCUGUGAGCUGCGGUGUAGGUCGCAGACGUGGCUCAGAUCCCCAGUUGCUGUGGCUGUGGCAUAGGCCAGCAGCUGUAGCUCCAAUUCGACCCCUAGCCUGGGAACUUUUUAGGGUGUGGCCCUACAAAGACAUAAAUAAAUAAAUAAAUAUUCAUCCUAGGCUAUUAAUU
rnacentral:lncRNA from 1 species